CUGGGCCAGCUCUUCUUUCAACCGCCGGAUCUCAUCCUGCUGCCGGAAGAACAUUCGGAGGAGCUGGGGUGGAGGAAGAGAGGGGCCAGGCGGCCGGGAGAGAGCAGUGGAAAAUGCCAAAUAUAUACUAGGGUGGAAAGAACCACACUAUGAGCCUCCAAGAACUCAUCAACUGGCUUCAAGAAAUAACACGUGACCAUUUUUGCUUCAUCUCUACUCCUACCCAAUUCACCUGUCCCGCUGCCUCCAGGGAUUAUUUUGAAGCAAAUCUCAUUGGUCCCAUGAUUCCACCCAACCCUAGGAAUCGGAACAUCCCCCUACAAUGGUACGAAACAUAUCUUAUAGCAAUUGUCAGUCUGUCUUUCAAAUUUCCCUUCAAGACUGUGAGGUCCCAGAGGUCAGGAAUAGUCUUCGUUUGACAAAUAAUAGUGAUGAUCGUUAAGUUGGUGUGACAAGAAACCUCCGAGAUGGCCGCUGUGUUAUCCCCUCCCCUCAAGGGUGGACUGGGCCUAGUAACUUGCUUCAAAUGAAUAGAAAAUGGUAGAAGUGAUGGUCUGUCAUUUUCAAAAAAACUAUGACUUCCAUCUUGGACACCUUCUCUUGCUCACUCCGUGGGAUACCAGCUGCCACGCUGUCCUAUGGAGAGGUCCAUACGGUAAGGACCUGAGGGAGGCCUCUGGCUGAUAGCCCACGAGGAACCGAAACCCUCUGUCCAACAACCUGUGAGCGAAUGCGUCCUUCCAGCAACCAUGCGAAUGAACUCAGAAGCAGCUCCUUUCACAGCUGAGCCUUCAGAUGCGACAGCAGCCCAGCUGACAGUUUAACCACACGGCCUCAUACAGACCUUGAGCCAUGGGCAUCCAUUAUGAGAUACUAUGAGAUAAUAAAGGUUUGUGGGUUUAAGAAUUAA